CAAAUCAACCAAAACGCAGCGAGUCAUCAUAACACAGUAAAAAUAAGAAUGAAAAUUGAGAAACAUAACUUUUAUUGAUGAAUAAAAUUAAAAAUUAUAAAUUAAUCGGGCAAUGUCGAUAACAACUCGAACAACCACUUCAAAAUAUAUGUUGGACCUUGGACCGGAAAACCUCGACAGAGGAUAUGAUGCUUGAAAAAUUAAUUUUCCUUUACCGGAUGAAAUGACUUUACCACACAACUCCUUAACAUGGAGUAGCUUAUUGUUUCUCAAUUUCAUGAAUUUCACUAUGUCUUUAUCUUAUUUAGCUGGAAGAUAGUGACAACAUCAUCAUCUAAUAACCGCUGCCAAAUUUAAAUCCUAGUAUAAGAAGCAAAAGAAGACAAAUACCAAUAAUUCCACCAAAAGAUUCUCUUCAAAAGUGAAACGUUAACAAUCACAUGUCACCACUCCCAACUCUUCUUAUCACAAGCUUAAGCUUCAGCAAAUCCCAAUCCAGAGAGCUUCGGAAUGGCGGCAUGUUAAUGAAAGGUUUUCUAGGAAAGGCCUUUAAGCUUUUUGUGUUGGAAUUUAAGGGGGCCAAUUAGAAUGGAAUUGAAGGAGGAAGAAAAAAAGAGAGGUUGAUGGUGAUAGGAAUUUGUUUAGGUCGUUAUGGAUUUUUGAAUCCGAGAUGAGAUUGCAUGUAGGAAAAUGGAUUGUAGAAAUUCGAUUCCAUUUGCAGAAAAUUGUUUUCUUGGUCAAUCAAAAGGAAUAUGCCGUUUUAGCUUAGAGUUCCUAGGUCUUACGUCUAGAAUU
rnacentral:lncRNA from 1 species